GACGAACGCUGGCGGCGGGCUUAACACAUGCAAGUCGAACGGAAAGGCCCUGCUUUUUUGUGGUUCUCGAGUGGCGAACGGGUGAGUAACACGUGAGUAACCUGCCCUUGACUUUGGGAUAACUUCAGGAAACUGGGGCUAAUACCGGAUAGGAGCUCCUGCUGCAUGGUGGGGGGUGGAAAGUUUCGGCGGUUGGGGAUGGACUCGCGGCUUAUCAGCUUGUUGGUGGGGUAGUGGCUUACCAAGGCUUUGACGGGUAGCCGGCCUGAGAGGGUGACCGGCCACCUUGGGACUGAGAUACGGACCAGACUCCUACGGGAGGCAGCAGUGGGGAAUAUUGCACAAUGGGCGGACGCCUGAUGAAGAAACGCCGCGGGCGGGAUGACGGCCUUCGGGUUGUAAACCGCUUUAGCCUGUGACGAAGCGUGAGUGACGGUACUGGGUAAAGAAGCACCGGCUAACUACGUG
rnacentral:rRNA from 1 species